rnacentral:misc_RNA from 1 species
GGAUCCACUUUUUCUCUUUCGUCUUCCUAAAGAUUUUAGUAGAGAGCAGGAGAAGAGAGGAUGUCAGCUGGUCGGAACACCCAUUGGUGUUAUAGAUGCAGAAGGUCAGUACGUCUUCGUGGUAGAGAUGCAGUUUGCCCCAACUGCAAUGGAGGAUUUAUCCAAGAACUUGAUGAUAUGGUGCCCGGAAAUCCAUUUGAUUUCUUUGGUCUGGAUCAUGAUGAAGAUCGCGAUCAUGGUCUGGGAGCAUUCUCUGCUUUUAUGAGACAACGUUUAGCCGAAAGAAAUGACAUGAGGGGAAGAUCAGAGUCACUUUUUGAGCGUACCCCAGGAUUCGGUCCUCUAUUAAUAUUUGGUGGUCAAAUACCAUUGAGAAACAGCAGGUUAGAAGCUCUCUUCAAUGGGGCUCCUGGCAUUGGUAUUACACGGGGCGAUAGUGGCGACUACUUUAUAGGCCCUGGACUGGAGGAGCUAUUCGAACAGCUUUCGGCAAAUGGUCAUCGUGGCCCUCCGCCAGCAUCUAGAUCAUCAAUUGAUGCAAUGCCAACAGUUAAGAUCACGCAACGACAUCUUCGCUCAGAUUCACAUUGUCCAGUUUGUAAAGAAAAAUUUGAACUGGGGUCUGAAGCAAGGCAGAUGCCUUGUAAUCACAUGUACCACUCAGAUUGUAUUGUUCCAUGGCUGGUCCAGCACAACUCUUGCCCCGUCUGCCGCCAGGAACUGCCACCACUGGGAAUAGGAGGCGGGGGCAGUGGACAUACCACCGAUGGUCAAAACCAAAGCAAUGGCUACAACAACGGCAAUGGCUCCCGGGUCAAUCCUGGUAGACGCAAUCCAUUUUCUUAUCUGUGGCCAUUUCGGUCAUCUAGUUCCAGCUCCAACCAUGGUGGAGCAGGGAGCGGU